rnacentral:rRNA from 1 species
UACGUAGGGGGCCAGCGUUGUCCGGAUUCAUUGGGCGUAAAGCGCGUGUAGGCGGCCAGGUAGGUCCGAUGUGAAAUCUGGAGGCUCAACCUCCAGCGGUCAUUGGAAACCAUCUGGCUAGAGUCCGGAAGAGGAGAGUGGAAUUCCUGGUGUAGCGGUGAAAUGCGCAGAUAUCAGGAAGAACACCAAUGGCGAAGGCAGCUCUCUGGGACGGUACUGACGCUGAGACGCGAAAGCCAGGGGAGCAAACGGG